CACCGAAGCCUGCGGUUAAUUGAUCGUGAGGCAAUGUGGUGUUUAGGUUGGCUUCAGACAUUACUGCUCUGCCCCAAGUCCAGCAAUGAGUACGGCUUCCCAUUCUGGCCCAAAGAGGGUGAAAGGCCCGUGGGGGUAGAGAUNAAGUGUGANAGUUCUGUUCUGAGCUACCC
rnacentral:rRNA from 1 species